CGGCGGACGGGUGAGUAACACGUGGAUAACCUACCUAUAAGACUGGGAUAACUUCGGGAAACCGGAGCUAAUACCGGAUAAUAUUUUGAACCGCAUGGUUCAAAAGUGAAAGACGGUCUUGCUGUCACUUAUAGAUGGAUCCGCGCUGCAUUAGCUAGUUGGUAAGGUAACGGCUUACCAAGGCAACGAUGCACAGCCGACCUGAGAGGGUGAUCGGCCACACUGGAACUGAGACACGGUCCAG
rnacentral:rRNA from 1 species